rnacentral:rRNA from 1 species
UACGUAGGGGGCAAGCGUUGUCCGGAUUUAUUGGGCGUAAAGAGCGUGUAGGCGGCCUGAAAGGUCAGCUGUGAAAACUCGAGGCUCAACCUCGAGACGUCGGUUGAAACCAUCUGGCUAGAGUCCGGAAGAGGAGAGUGGAAUUCCCGGUGUAGCGGUGAAAUGCGCAGAUAUCAGGAGGAACACCCGUAGCGAAGGCGGCACUCUGGGCCGAUACUGACACUGAGGAGCGAAAGCGUGGGGAGCGAACAGGA